GUCACCUUCUCGCGAGAUUUGCGCCUGGGACGGCGGAGUCUUAUUCAGAGACCGGCUCCUCAGACUGAACGACUAGGUUCCACGGCGGUGGGAGAGCAAAGUGAUUUUUAAGUUCCGGGCAGCUGCUGAAGAUUUGGUGGCAGCAGUGGGAUCCAAAGCAAAUCUCCAUCAACAUUCAGGGACAAUGAGAAACACAAGCAUGGCGCCCUGUUAACCCUUUUGAAUUCACUUUCUUGCUGUUUUCAAAGGCCAUUGGGUUGCAGUUUUCUUGUCUCACGGAGGCGAAGAAUGAAUCUCGUGGACACAAAAGGGUGAAGUGAUAGUUUAUUAAGUUAAGAGAGAGACACAGCAAGAGAGGGAACACAAGCAGGGGGAGUGGGAGAGGGAGAAGCAGGCUUCCCGCCGAGCAGGAGGCCCGAUGUGGGACUCGAUCCCAGGACCCUGGGAUCAUGACCUGAGCCGAAGGCAGACGCUUAACGACUGAGCCACCCAGUAUUCACAGCAAUGUCCAGCAUACCUGACUGAGGAGUAUUGUUGGCUGGAAUCUUUACUGAAACCGUUGUAAGAAAGUAAUCCUUUCCAAGAGUUCAGGAGUAAAAUUACCAAGCAGCUGAUUUGCUGAUUCUCUGAGAAGUGUCUAACCUCUCCCCCCUCCAAACAAAUACACAGACAAAAAUAUUUUCUGCAUUCACCAGCCAAUACCUACCUGAGCUGUCUAUUGGAACCUUAUUCAAAGAUGGGGCCUCAUCCUUGACUCAAGAGUUGGAGUGAGAGAACGUAUCCAAAGUUCACUGGUGGAUCUCACUGCUUCAGGUCGCAAUGCUUAGCUCAGGCCCGGGCAUGAGACAUGAUCAGAGCCAAGUAAGAGGCAGCGAGGCUUCUUUUGGAACUGCCAGAACAGAAGUGGUGCUCCAUCACUCUGAAGGCAUUCCAACCUGAGGCCUGAGAGGUGAUUUGAAGAUAAUUCAGUGGAAUGAGUAUAGGCAACUCUUUAAACAGCUGAAUUGUGAUUAUGAAGGAAAAGAUGCUAUGAUUUAGUUGGAGAUAUGGCAGCAAAUUUUAUUUAUUUGACAGAGAGACACAGCGAAAGAGGAAACACAAGCAGAGGUAGAGGGAAAGGGAGAAGCAGGCUUCCCGCGGAGCAGGGAGCCUGCCUGAUGCGGGGCUCGAUCCCAGGACCCUGGGAUCAUGACCUGAGCCAAAGGCAGAUACUUAACAACUGAGCCACCCAGAUUCAUAAAGAAAAGGACCUCAAAGAAAAACGGUUAUAUAAAAUAAAGGAUUUAUAAUUGUGUGAAUUUUAUUUAUUCUAAUUCAUCAAUGAUGUUCCAUUAGCAUCACUCAUAGCUUUGGCAGUUUGGUUUUGAAUAAUACUAAAUAGCUCUCUAUGUCUGGACUGAUUUGGAUGACCUGGUUAUUUUAAGAAGAACAUUUAAGUAGAUGGAUUAUAACACACGUUUAUACACAUGCACAUGCUCACUCAUUAUGUAUUCAUUUGUGGCCAAACAAGUUUUUUUUUCUUCCCCUCCCCAGCACAAUGUAACUUGAUUGGUUAAAGACCAAAAUAAAUCUUAAUUUAUGAUUUAUCAUUCUGCAAUUGGUUAUUGCAGUGGAUGCUUUGAUAGAUUUCCUAAACUCCUUCCUUAAGAUCAUCCCCUAAUAACUGGCAGUAACAGCAACUGACCACACACAGCUCAAUCCCUCGAGAAGAACUGUGCUCAGCUAUAAGGAACUGCUUUGCCAAAGGUGGCUAGGGGCAGCCCAAGGCCAAUGAGUGCCUAAUGAAGGGAUACACCCUACCUCAAGCUGGGACAACUUCAAAGGCCCAUCUCAUCUCCAGAGUUCCCAAGAGGAUUGACUGAGGUCUGAGAUGCAACUGCAUUCCAGGUUAGCUUGUAUCCCUCUGCCCAGUCCCCUGUCAUCACUUGUUUAUAUGUGUGUAUACUACUAGAGGACCCCAGUAAGCCUUCCCCUUAAUAGGGAACUUAAACUGAUACAAAGAAAACUCAAGUCCUGCAGUUUACAAAAAUAUAAGAUAAAGGACUUUUCCUCCUUGAGUUUUAAAAAGAAUAAUCUGAAAGAGCUCAAAAGUACAACCAAGAAUACUUUCAUCAGGUUUAUGAAAACUUAUCACUUUCAAUACAAUAAGUAUUGUGAGAUGGAAGUGACAUUGUCCUCAAUAUCCAAGAUGGAGAAUUACUUCAGACCUUUCUAGGUGGAGUUGGCUGAGAUUGCAUGUAUUUGAAAGUGCCAAAUCUAGGGAGAAGUUUAAUCUUUAAGCCAUUUAUAGCCAGGACUGUAUAUAAUUCUUAGGUGAAACAGAAGAUACAUAUUUUAUAUUUUUUAUUAUAAAAAUGGAAAUUCACAACCAGGAGGCAUGUCCGUUAUGUAUUGAUGUAUUGUUAUUGAGAACAGCAAGUUGCAUAUAUAUAGUACAGUUUUUAUAAAUGCAAACGACACCAAAAUACUUUAGAUGCUUGUGUAUUUAUUUGUAUAUAUUUGAGGGUGAAGAAGUUUAUUUAACAGGCAUUAACUAUCAUAAGGUGAAACUAGUAGAAGGGAGAGUUAGCAGGAAUGCGAAUACAGUCCUUUAAAUGGUUUAAAAGAACCACUAUUCUAUAUUACUCUAGUGUUUUUUUCCUGGUUGAGCUUAAGAGGUAUGAGGUUUGUAAUUUUGGAAGAGGCAUUUAAGAUUUAAAGUGAAACAGAACAAUGCCUUUAAUCUAAAAAAGAGACUACAUAAAACUAUUCAAAAUAAAAAUUUUGUUCAUUGUAAUGUGAUACCAGCUAAUGUUUAUAUUACUGAAAGGAUGCCUCUAAGAUUGCAGUGGAAUUGACUGUAAACAAAAGCAGUAGUUUCAAAGAACUGUGGCCAGCAUAAACAAAAUCGGGUUAUAAUUGAUGACAGAAUUUUAAAAUUUUUCUUUCCUAAGAUGGUGCCUAUAUCACCAAUGACUAUUAAGCUAGUUAUUUUUCUUAUUUCUCUCUUCAAAACCAUUUUUAAAAAAGUAGCAUAGAUAGAGCAUGUUAUGUUUAAAAGCCCUCGAAACUCCCCAUAACUUUCAGGGUAAAACCCAGACUCAUUAAAAUGGAAUGUAGGUCUCAUAUAUCCUUUCUGCUUCCUCUUUAACUUCAUCCUCCCCUCCUCCCGCUCACAUGCUUUACUUCAGCCCUCAGAUCAUGAGAGGACUUCAAGGGUAUCUGCCUCUAUGUCUUUGUCCAUUUUGCUUCCUUAUGCUAGGAAGUUCUCUCCACCAAGUUCCACUUUCCCAGAUCAGUUUUAUUCCCCCUUUACUAGUAAAGCAAGAUGUCUUCUCUAGGUGGUAUUUUCGUGCCUCCAAACGUUAGCCUGGAUUAGGUGCCUUCCCAGCACAUCCCCACAUAUCUCAGGGUUUUUCUUUUCCAUGGCAUUCAUCCCAGUGAAUUCCUUUUUUUAGCUUUAUUGAAGUUUAAUUGAUAUACAAUAAACUGCAUAUUUUAAAUUGUAUAAUUUAAUGAGCUUUGACAUAUGUAUAGAGCCAUGAAACCAUCACCACAAAUCAAGAUAAUGAACUUUUUCUGUCACCCACAAAAAUUUCUUCUUGUCCCUUUGUAUUUCCUCCUAUCCCUCUCCACCCUCCCUGUGCAUCCCCAGGGUACUACUGAUCUGCUUUCUAUCAUGAUAGAUUAGUUUGGAUUGUCUAGAAUUUUAUAUAAAUGGAACCAUACAAUGUCCUCUUUUAUCCUGGCUUUUUUCACUCAGCAUGAUUAUUUUGGGAUUCAUCAAUGUUGUUGCAUGUAUCAAUAGUUUAUUUGUUUUUUUUUUUUCUGAGUUUCUUUGGUUAUACCAAAAUUUUUUAUCCAUUCACCUGAUAGACAUUUGUGUGGUUUCCAGUUUGGGGCUAUUACCAAAAAAGGUGUUAUGCAUAUUUUUGUAUGUCUUUCUGUGGACAUAUACUUUUAUUUUUCCUGUGUAAAUACCUAGGAGUGUGUAUUACUUUCUAGGGCUGCUAUAAUAAAAUACUACAUAUUGGGUGGUUUAAAAUAAUAGGAAUUGAUUCUCCCACAGUUCUGGAGGCUAGAAGUCCAAAAUCAAGGUGUUAGCAGAGGUUGUAGGGAAGAAUUCUUCUUUGCCUCCUCUUGAUUCUGGGAUUUCUUGGCAUUCUUUGGCAUUUUUGGUAUUCCUUGAUUUGCAGAUGGAUCUCUCCAUCUACGUAUAGUUUUGACUUCUGUGUGUUUCUGUCUCUGUGUCUAGAUUUCCCUCUUUUUAUAAGAACACCAGUCCUAUUAGAUUUAGGGCCUGAUUUAAUCAAGUAGGGUCUUAACUAGAGUAUAUCUGCAAAGACCCUAUUUCCAAGUAAGGACAUAUUUAUAGGUUCUGAGUGGAUGUGAGUUUUUUUAUUUUUUUAAUUUAAAUUCAAUUAAUUAACAUAUAAUAUAUUAAUUGUUUCAGAGGUCGAGGUCAGUGAUUCAUCAGUCUUAGGUAAUACCCAGUGCUCAUUACAUCACAUGUGGAUGUGAAUUUUGAGGGGAUACUAUUCCACCCAGUACAGAGCCUAACAUUUCUUUGGACAAUAUUAAUCUUUCCUGUGUAGAUAUGUUUUGAAAAAAUAUUCUCCUAGGAAGGGCUUGCCUUUUCAUUUUUACAUCAAUGCCUUUUGAAGAGCAAAGUUUUCAACUGUGAUAGUUUGUCCUUUUGUAUUGUGUUUAAGAAACAUAUCAAGAUCAAAAAAAAAGGGGCGCCUGGGUGGUUCAGUUGGUUAAGUGACUGCUUUCGGCUCAGGUCAUGAUCCUGGAGUCCCUGGAUCGAGUCCCGCAUCGGGCUCCCUGCUCGGCGGGGAGUCUGCUUCUCCCUCUGACCCUCCCCCCUCUCAUGGGCUCUCUCUCUCAUUCUCUCUGUCUCAAAUAAAUAAAUAAAAUCUUUAAAAAAAUAAUCCAAAAAAAAAAAGAAACAUAUCAAGAUCAUUGAGAUUUUUCUCUAAUGAUUUCUUCCAGAAGUUUUCCAGAUUUGAGUCUAUGAACUGUUUCAAGUUAAUUUUUGUCUAUAUUGUGAGGUAAUAAUAAAGGCUUGUUUUUGUUUAUUUUGUAAUAGUCAUACAAUUGUUUAGGACCAUUUGUUAAAAAUAUUAUUUUUUUCCCUGUUGAAUUGUCUUGGUAUUAAAAAAAUAAAUUAAAUGUAUUUAUAGGUCUAAUUCUAGACUCGAUUCUGUUCUGUCAUUGAUCUAUUUUUUAAAUCUUUAU